AUGGAGAAUUCUCAUCAAGUGUCGGACCACCUGGAGCCGUGGCGCCACCUCCACGGUAAGGUCGUCAUGGUCACCGGCGCUUCCUCUGGCCUCGGCCGCGACGUUUGCUUAGACUUGGCUAAAGCCGGAUGCAGAAUCGUAGCCGCCGCUCGCCGCAUCGACCGCCUUCAGUCCGUCUGCGAUCAAAUCAACCAGCUCUCCAUCACGGCUCCGUCUUUUUCUUCUUCUGCUGCUGCUGAUAAUAUUCCUGGUGGAGGCCCGCGGGCCGUGGCUGUUGAGCUGGAUGUCAGCGCCGAUAGCCCAGCUAUUGAGAAGUCUGUGAACAACGCUUGGGACGCGUUUGGGCGCAUCGAUGCCCUUGUUAACAAUGCCGGUAUUAGAGGUAAGGUGAAGACUGCAUUGGAAUUGUCUGAGGAGGAAUGGAAUAAUGUCUUCAGGACAAAUUUAACGGGUUCCUGGUUGGUGUCAAAGUUUGUUGCUAUACGCAUGCGAGAUGCUGAUCAGGGAGGAUCAAUCGUCAAUAUAUCUUCCAUUGCUGGUCUUAAUCGUGGAUAUUUGCCUGGAGCUACAGCAUACAAUUGUUCAAAGGCUGGCGUAAACACCUUAACAAAGACUAUGGCUAUGGAGUUGGGGGUGCACAAUAUCAGAGUGAACGCAAUAUCACCUGGACUUUUCAAGUCGGAAAUCACGGAGGGUCUUAUGCAAAAAGAAUGGCUACGCAAUGUGGCUAUGAAAACUGUCCCUUUACGAACAUUUGGGACUUCGGAUCCAGCACUGACAUCGCUAGUUAGAUAUUUGCUACACGACUCUUCUGAAUAUGUGUCUGGCAACGUUUACAUUGUUGAUGCAGGAAACAGCUUGCCAGGUGUUCCUAUUUACUCUUCCCUCUGAAGUUUCAUGUGGAUUUGUAUUCAUGAGGAACAGAAAAGAGUAGAGAAAUAAAUAAACGUACGAUGAAUACGUAUGGAAGCCCCUCGCAAGUUCAAGAUUUAUGAAUAAUACAAGACAUGAAGAAGAGUGAAGGAUGGUGGACAGAUGUGGAAGAAAUGUAUACUAAGAAAUGGUACACUGCACCAAAACUAAAAAUCAAAAUUGAGAAUUUGGCUACGGUUAUACGCUGUAAUGACAUCCAAUGACCAUAUCUAUACAUUUGGAGCAAAAUAAGGAAGGAUUUCCUUU